rnacentral:rRNA from 1 species
GACGAACGCUGGCGGCGUGCCUAAUACAUGCAAGUAGAACGCUGAAGGAGGAGCUUGCUUCUCUGGAUGAGUUGCGAACGGGUGAGUAACGCGUAGGUAACCUGCCUGGUAGCGGGGGAUAACUAUUGGAAACGAUAGCUAAUACCGCAUAACAGUAGAUGUUGCAUGACAUUUGCUUAAAAGGUGCAAUUGCAUCACUACCAGAUGGACCUGCGUUGUAUUAGCUAGUUGGUGGGGUAACGGCUCACCAAGGCAACGAUACAUAGCCGACCUGAGAGGGUGAUCGGCCACACUGGGACUGAGACACGGCCCAGACUCCUACGGGAGGCAGCAGUAGGGAAUCUUCGGCAAUGGGGGCAACCCUGACCGAGCAACGCCGCGUGAGUGAAGAAGGUUUUCGGAUCGUAAAGCUCUGUUGUAAGAGAAGAACGAGUGUGAGAGUGGAAAGUUCACACUGUGACGGUAACUUACCAGAAAGGGACGGCUAACUACGUGCCAGCAGCCGCGGUAAUACGUAGGUCCCGAGCGUUAUCCGGAUUUAUUGGGCGUAAAGCGAGCGCAGGCGGUUAGAUAAGUCUGAAGUUAAAGGCUGUGGCUUAACCAUAGUACGCUUUGGAAACUGUUUAACUUGAGUGCAGAAGGGGAGAGUGGAAUUCCAUGUGUAGCGGUGAAAUGCGUAGAGAUGUGGAGGAAUACCGAAGGCGAAGGCAGCCCCUUGGGAAUGUACUGACGCUCAUGUGCGAAAGCGUGGGGAGCAAACAGG